GACGAACGCUGGCGGCGCGCCUAAUACAUGCAAGUAGAACGCUGAAGGAGGAGCUUGCUUCUCUGGAUGAGUUGCGAACGGGUGAGUAACGCGUAGGUAACCUGCCUGGUAGCGGGGGAUAACUAUUGGAAACGAUAGCUAAUACCGCAUAAGAGUAGAUGUCGCAUGACAUUUGCUUAAAAGGUGCAAUUGCAUCACUACCAGAUGGACCUGCGUUGUAUUAGCUAGUUGGUGAGGUAACGGCUCACCAAGGCAACGAUACAUAGCCGACCUGAGAGGGUGAUCGGCCACACUGGGACUGAGACACGGCCCAGACUCCUACGGGAGGCAGCAGUAGGGAAUCUUCGGCAAUGGACGGAAGUCUGACCGAGCAACGCCGCGUGAGUGAAGAAGGUUUUCGGAUCGUAAAGCUCUGUUGUAAGAGAAGAACGAGUGUGAGAGUGGAAAGUUCACACUGUGACGGUAUCUUACCAGAAAGGGACGGCUAACUACGUG
rnacentral:rRNA from 1 species